AACGAACGCUGGCGGCAGGCCUAACACAUGCAAGUCGAACGAUAAGCCACCUUCGGGUGGUGGACAGUGGCAGACGGGUGAGUAACGCGUGGGAACGUGCCUUUCGGUUCGGGAUAACCCAGGGAAACUUGGGCUAAUACCGGAUACGCCCUUCGGGGGAAAGAUUCAUUGCCGAAAGAUCGGCCCGCGUCGGAUUAGCUUGUUGGUGGGGUAAUGGCCUACCAAGGCGACGAUCCGUAGCUGGUCUGAGAGGAUGACCAGCCACACUGGGACUGAGACACGGCCCAGACUCCUACGGGAGGCAGCAGUGGGGAAUAUUGGACAAUGGGCGAAAGCCUGAUCCAGCCAUGCCGCGUGGGUGAAGAAGGCCUUAGGGUUGUAAACCCCUUUCAGCGGGGACGAUAAUGACGGUACCCGCAGAAGAAGUCCCGGCUAACUCCGUGCCAGCAGCCGCCGUAA
rnacentral:rRNA from 1 species